rnacentral:rRNA from 1 species
AUUGAACGCUGGCGGCAGGCCUAACACAUGCAAGUCGAGCGAGCGGCGGACGGGUGAGAAAUGUCUGGGAAUUGCCCAGUCGGGGGGGAUAACAGUUGGAAACAACUGCUAAAACCGCAUACGAUUGGAUUGCCCAGGUGGGAUUAGCUAGUUGGUGAGGUAAUGGCUCACCAAGGGGAAGGUCCCUAGCUGGUCUGAGAGGAUGAUCGGCCACACUGGAACUGGGACACGGCCCAGACUCCAACGGGAGGAAGCAGUGGGGAAUAUUGCACAAUGGGGGAAACCCUGAUGCAGCCAUGCCGCGUGUGGGAAGAAGGCCUUCGGGUUGUAAAGCACUUUCAGCGAGGAGGCGUUACUCGCAGAAGAAGCACCGGCUAACUCCGUGCCAGCAGCCGCGGUAAUUC